rnacentral:rRNA from 1 species
AGGGCACCACCAGGAGUGGAGCCUGCGGCUUAAUUUGGCUCAACACGGGAAAACUCACCCGGCCCGGACACUGGAAGGAUUGACAGAUUGAGAGCUCUUUCUUGAUUCAGUGGGUGGUGGUGCAUGGCCGUUCUUAGUUGGUGGAGUGAUUUGUCUGGUUAAUUCCGAUAACGAACGAGACUCUAGCCUACUAAAUAGAUCGUCGGCUUACAAACGCCGGCGAGACUUCUUAGAGGGACAGGCGGUGAUUCAACCGCACGAAACAGAGCAAUAACAGGUCUGUGAUGCCCUUAGAUGUCCGGGGCCGCACGCGCGCUACACUGAAGUGAUCAGCGUGCUUUUUCAACCUACUCUGUCAAGAGUGGGGAACCCAAUGAACCUUCUUCGUGAUUGGGAUAGGGGAUUGUAAUUAUUCCCCUUGAACGAGGAAUUCCCAGUAAGCGCGAGUCAUAAGCUCGCGUUGAUUACGUCCCUGCCCUUUGUACACACCGCCCGUCGCUACUACCGAUUGAAUGUUUU